rnacentral:rRNA from 1 species
CUGGCUCAGAACGAACGCUGGCGGCAGGCCUAAAACAUGCAAGUUGAACGGCCAUAGCAAUAUGGCAGUAGCGCAAGGGUGAGUAAUGUAUGGGAACGUAUCUUUUGGUGGGGAAUAUUCUUUGGAAACGAAGAGCAAUACCGCAUAAGCCCUACGGGGGAAAGAUUUAUCGCCGAUUGAGCGGCCCAUAUUGGAUUAGCUAGUUGGUUAGGUAACGGCUGACCAAGGCUGUGAUCCAUAGCUGGUCUGAGAGGACGAUCAGCCACACUGGGACUGAGACACGGCCCAGACUCCUACGGGAGGCAGCAGUUAGGAAUAUUGGACAAUGGGGGCAACCCUGAAUCCAGCCAUGCCGCGUGAGUGUUAAGGCCUUCGGGUUGUAAAGCUCUUUUGUAUGGGAAAAUGAUGAUGGUACCAUAAGAAUAAGCACCGGCUAACUUCGUGCCAGCCGCCGC